UCCUUCAAAUAGAAGAAAGAUAAGCCUGGAGAGAUGAAGUAAUCCACAUAGUUGGGGAGUGACAGAAAUGCUUUUCAAACUGAAUCUUGUCUUCUACUGAGAAAAUGCCUACCAUGUGGGAUCAUGAAUGACUUCUAAUCCUAUGGCCUUCCCAUCCACCGUGUUGCCCCUAAUGAUUGUUUAUUGAACAAGAUUUCAUAAAAAGAUGGCACGGGACAGUGAAAUUCACAAUGGGCUCUCAACGUGCUCUUCCUCCAGCAAAACAAUCCCCAAACAUUUCUAUUCAGGGGAAAUUAGAGUAAAAUAUCAAUUGAGGUCAAUAUUGAGCAGAAAAGUAAGUCAUAGAGCAGCUGCCUAACAGAGAUUGUAGGUGGAGGUGAGGGUUGGGUAUAAAUAUUUUCUGCCUUGGUUAUGGUGUGAGAGAUUCCUUUUUAAGCAAAAUGACCUAUUGGAACUUUCAAUUUUUAAGAUGCAAAAUCUCCUUGUUCUCUUCUCGUUCCUCAUCACUGUUUAACUAACAGGAUGGCUGCGUCCCUAAGGAAAGUUGACCAUCGCCAGUGCCUGCCUCUUGGGUGCAAUAGAAAGUAUGACAGUAAGAUAAAACCAGUCAAGGGAAUCAAACCCGAAAGCCAGAAGAGGUCAUUGGGACGACCCUUGAAUGAAUGACUUUUCUUGCCACACCCACGCCGGAGACCUCACCAGGUGCACAUAUUUCCUGCUGCUGAAUGGCUUAGACUGGGAUUUGCAAGGAAUCACGAAGUUCAAGACCUCUGCCUUUCUUUUAGAAGAAGGCACCAGCUGGUUCUCCAAUGUUGAAGGUCUUCUCCAGAGAUGAACUCUGAAAGCCGCAUGUUGAGAUGGCCUCAUUACAGAUGGAGAGCGCCUGAACCCCCAAGUUAAGGAACAGCAGAAGAGAGUUGCCCUGGAAAAUCAUCUGACCCACAUUGGACUUUAUGUGAGGGAGAAAUAAACCUUUAUUAUGUUAAGCUACACAAUAAUAAUAAUAAUAACAAUAAUUGUGUUUAUUUGUUACCUCAGCUUAGCAUGGCCUUCCUACCUGACACACAUCUCUGGGUUUUGCUCUUCUCCGCAUUGGUUUAAUUCUCAGGCAGGUUCUCCCUCCGGGCUCCUGGGCUCACACCCCCAUGUCCAGCAGAAUGAGCCACUUCUCUAGAUUCAUGAACCAUGAAUCUAGAGAGGGCAGCCUGAGGAAUGUGCUGACUGGCCAGGCAUGGGUCAGGUGCCCUCCAGGGCAAGACUGAUACUGGGUUUUCCAGAGAAAAAUGGGGACACUGGUAUCAGAAGAAAGGUGAGCAUCAAGACCAAGAUGUCCACACAGGUCUGGUGAGUCCCCACCUCAGUGAUAGUCCCCCUGCACGGCCAUGGAUGAAGGUUGGCCUUGCAGCUAAAACCCAGGCUCUGGAAGCCCAUGCUCUCACCCUGGUUCUCAAUCACUUACUAUAGGUACCAUCUUGAGCACGUAGGUGAAACUCUUUAAGAGUCAGUCUUCUCACCUGCAAAUAGUAAUAAUUAUGGCACCUGAUUGCAAUGACCUGAGCAAGGCUAGCUGGCUCUUGAGGGCAGCAGUUGAGCAGGAAGGGGAACUCUACGUGGACUCCUGUGAACCCCAGGAAUAAAAGCCUAGGACACACCAAGGCGCCUCUGAUAAUCACCACUACUACCCUUCUUGAACAGGAAAAUAUUCUCAAAACAGAUCUUCCUUUUGUAAACCUUUGAGCCCAGGGCAGCACAGAAGUUUGCAGGUUUUCAGCUCGUGCUUCUCUUCUCCACUCCUGUCUUUUACACUUAAGGUAACUGCAAAGCAAGAUAAGGUUCUAAAGUGAGCACUCUUUGUGGGGUAUUAUUUAUGGGCAGCAAAUGGGACAGAGACUAUUUCCCCUUCCAGGGGACUCAGGGUCUCUGGUAUAAAAAUGUAGGACUGGGGUGGUGAGAGUUCAGAGGGUGGAAACGGUGAUUGGCUUCUGAAUUUGCGGGCACAGCCAGAUGGUUCUGAUGUCGACAUUACCCUUCCCAGGCUCACUGCCAUCACUUGUGGGGAAACGCCAACUUGUGUGCAUUUUGAGUGUGUCUUUGCAAACAUCCUGCAAUCACAUAAAUAACUGGGCUUCAUCUGCCCUUCGCCUUCCCAUUUUGUACCCACAUUUCCCAUAGCAUUCCACUUCUCCACAUUGUCUCGCUGUGGAAUUAAAAUGCUCCUUUCCAGAGCAGCAAUUAGAGAGAUUAUUUGACCGGACCAAGACUAGGGACUGGUACUUCUUCCAAAAAGACCGGGUGUUUAUUAUGUACCAGGCACAGGGCUUAGAAUUUUGAAUGUUUUAUCUGAUUUAAUUCUUCCAAAAUUUCAGUGAGGUGAAUAUCAGUUUCAUCUCCAUCUUCUGCAGGCAAGGAAGCGGAGACAAAGAGAAUUUAUAGAUGGGAGCCUGAAGCUAGCAAAGAGUGGAGACAGGGCUUCAGUUUAGGCAACUGGAGUCCAGAGCCCCUGUGUGUAGUCCCAAAGCUCUGUCUCCCACAUCCUUUCAGAGUGGCUUGGUUACUCUGUUGUGCAAAGGACAAGGCAGAAUUUGGGAAUCCUCUGAAACUCCCUAAUUCUGGUGCUCCUGUAAUCAUCUCCCAUGAACCCAUCCCUCACAUUUUGUGGUGAGGAGAAUGUGAACUUUGACUUCCCA